AUGGCUGCGUUUCUGGUGCAUGUGCAUUUGAAGAUCUCAUGACUAGAUCCACACUCAUCC
rnacentral:precursor_RNA from 1 species